UGUAAAAGUUCAUUUACCCAGAGUCUUUUUUCAACAUGCAAGUUAAAGUCGCAGCAUGAGAUACUUUUGGCUUAACAAGAAAGGCCUUGAUAAUAUAAACAGAAGAACAAGCGAUAUAAUGUUUCGUGAGAAUUG